rnacentral:ncRNA from 1 species
AUAAAAAUUGAAAUAAACUCAUAUAUACUUGGGAUAUGGCCGAGAGUUUCUACGAACCACCGUAAAUGGUUUGCUAUGAGGAAUAGAUAUAA